GGUGGCAGAGCCCAGCCACCAGGGUCUGCUCCAUGCCUGGUCCCUGGAGAGGCCCUCACCCUCUCUGCUUUCACCCAACCUGACUGACACGGAGUAGGAGGUGGGAAUCAUGCAGGCAGGGAGCUUAGGAAGCCUCGUUCAAGAUUGCUUUGAAUGGAAGGCCCCCUGCUGUGCUCCUGGGGAGAGAGCCUGAAACCUGGAUGCUCUGGAGCCCCUCAGAUCCGUCAUCUGUCCCCGACACCCCUGCGGCGAGCCUUGCCACUGGGCCCUGAGAAGCUCAGAGCAGUCGAGUCAGGGCAGUGGGACAUGACCCAGGUCAGAUGUGGCUUUUCCGUAAUUGUACACCAAUGAUCAAGAGAAAAUGAAGGAUUUUAAUAUCCAGGAAGAUCCUCCGCCUCGGUGCCAGGCCCACUGCCCACCACAUGGGAGCAGGAACCAGGGCAUGGGCAGGCAGAAGAGCAGGCGGAGCGGCUGAGCUCCUGUCCCGGCUCCCUAAGGUGAUCCCAGUUUGUGGAGGAUUAUGUACCCUCGCGCCCAGUAGCACACUUUCCAAAUAAGCCAUCAGACUCCUCCCAAGAUCCUGAAACUGAGGCUCAGAGAGCAGAAGCAGCUUGGCCAAAGUCAUACAACUGGUAGUUGGUAAAGGAGCUGGCCUUGAACUCAGGGAUAUCUUGAAAGCCACUGUUGCUUCUAUGGACUCUAGCCAUUCAAAAGACCCCUCACCUUCUAUAAGACCCCAGGAGAUCCUCAGGGUCCAACUGCUCCCCUGAAAACAGGUCCCAGAUAUAUCUGCCAAAGGUAUGAUUAGGUGCCUAAACACAUACCAUGAGAAAGGGAUUCCAUGUCUUCCAAUCCUGCCCAGAGAUGCAGAGACAUCACCACCCAGGGAGAG
rnacentral:antisense_RNA from 1 species